GGUCUGUGGCUCAGUGGUAGAGCGCUCGCCUAGCAUGUGUGAGGCCCUGGGUUCGAUCCUCAGCACCA
rnacentral:tRNA from 1 species